UACGAAGGGGGCGAGCGUUGUUCGGAUUUACUGGGCGUAAAGGGCGCGUAGGCGGCCCUCCUUGUCGCGUGUGAAAGCCCCGGGCUCAACCUGGGAAUUGCGCGCGAAACGGGGGGGCUUGAGUUCGGGAGAGGAGCGUGGAAUUCCCAGUGUAGAGGUGAAAUUCGUAGAUAUUGGGAAGAACACCGGUGGCGAAGGCGGCGCUCUGGACCGAGACUGACGCUGAGGCGCGAAGGCCAGGGGAGCAAACGGG
rnacentral:rRNA from 1 species